rnacentral:rRNA from 1 species
UGGGGGAUAUUGCACAAUGGGCGAAAGCCUGAUGCAGCGACGCCGCGUGGGGGAUGAAGGCUUUCGGGUUGUAAACCUCUUUCGCUAUCGAACAAGGCCCGCUUAGGGUGGGUUGAGGGUAGGUGGAGAAGAAGCGCCGGCUAACUACGUGCCAGCAGCCGCGGUAGUACGUAGGGCGCGAGCGUUGUCCGGAAUUAUUGGGCGUAAAGGGCUUGUAGGCGGCUUGUUGCGCCUGCUGUGAAAACGCGGGGCUUAACUUCGCGCGUGCAGUGGGUACGGGCAGGCUUGAGUGUGGUAGGGGUGACUGGAAUUCCAGGUGUAGCGGUGGAAUGCGCAGAUAUCUGGAGGAACACCGAUGGCGAAGGCAGGUCACUGGGCCAUUACUGACGCUGAGGAGCGAAAGCAUGGGUAGCGAACAGG